rnacentral:lncRNA from 1 species
AUGCAAACUCGCGCAUUCCCAAGCUGGAGUCUGGAGAUUGUAACGGCACAGGAUGAGGGAAAUGCAUCCAUUCACGUGCUCUGCCUUCCUGGUCACAGCAUCAAACACCAGCACCCAGAAAUAGAAGGUGAGAAAUCCAGCAAAUAUGUAAAGGGGGCACUGGCUGCUUGGGAGUUGCUGGCAGCUUGGGUACCAGAUCAGUGAGACCUGAAGGAAGCAGGUAGGCUCGAAGAUCUGGAUCUUUGUACCUUCUACCCUCUUAAAUUCUGGAAACGUUACAGAAUGAGAAAGCAAAAAGCCUGGCUUUAUCCGUAGGACUGCCACCACUUUUUGUUGUCUUUAGUACAUCCCCUCUUCAAUAAUCCCUCUGUUCUUCUUUUCUCUCCUGAUUCCUCCCAAUAAAUGGACUUCCAAGUCUUUUCUGAG